GUGUUAUAUGAAAGGAGAGAAGGUUAGCACUAGCCUUGACAAAGAUGGAAGAGGCCCUUGGGCCUGACAACACACGUACAGUUAAGGCAUUACCACCUACUUCUUGGCAUCUAACCAUCGUUUUUA
ensembl:snRNA